rnacentral:lncRNA from 1 species
UUUGGCAGAUUUAUACUGCCUUUGGACACUCUUAUAAGCUAAGAGAACUAUGUGGGCUUGAGAUGAGGCUUACGCAAUGAAGGGACUAAAGUGCAUUUUUUAAAAUAGAAAGACUAGCAGUAAAGCGAAACAAACUAAUUUCAACACAAUUCCCAUCACAUAUUACAUAGGUGAACAGGACUUCUGGUGUGUGGAUCACAGGCUCUGACAAGCUAUUCGAAUGAAAAUUGCUCGUUGAGAAUGAUGCCCUGAACUUGCAUUUCUGUUCAAGAGCAGGGCAAUGUAAGUUUGUGCAGGUGAUAGUAUAGGCUAUUUUGGAAUGCUGUGCUGCGUUCCUGCUUUUUUCCCUUCCUCCCAACAAGACAGCAAUACAUCAUGUUAUCAAUCACAUUGUGGUACCUCUGAUCAAUCAUGAGGUGUAUCUGCUUUCUUGCUAAAUCAGGGACAUCCUGUAUGGUAAUAUCCAUACAGGGAUCAAUCUAGGGUAGGUGGCAGAUACAGAGCUUUAACACAUGCUGAGGCAACCAUCAGGUUUCAUCACAAGCUUUAAAAAGCACAGACACAUGAAUUAUGCUCUCUUUUCUCCAAGUUCCAUGGGAAUGAACUCACAACAGAUUAUUUCAGAAUGAUCCAUAUGCUUUGUUCAGUUCUUCCUUGCAAGUUGCAAUGAAAUAAAUGAGAGGUGUACUGCUAAAUCCUCUAAUAUCCCCCUUACCUGCUGGGUUACAGUUUCAUAUAUCUGUAGUAUAUAGACUACAUUUUUUGUUAUGGCUAUAUGAAGGCAAGCUAUCCUACUGUAUCAGCUUUUGAACAUUUUUGCAAGCACCUGCUUGCUAAUAAUAAAGCCUUAACCAGGUAUAUAUGUCUUUCCGAAGCAAGGGAGGCCUUUUCAAAGCCGCUGUAUAGAUCUCUCUUUCUAAUAAAAUAAGUGGAUACAUUAAGGUAGCAUAAAUAAUGUUGAAAGCUUCCGUGUACUAAAUUAUUUCUUUUCCUUUUGCAAUAGUUUUGCAGCAUUAUUGAUUGCAAUGUUGACGCAAGCUUUGGAGGCAGUGGAGUGUGUGUAUGUUCAAAGUAACAUCAGGUUCACCUGGGGCAAGUGAAUUGCUUUGUGUGAGUAAUUUGUUCUCAGUUUCUCUGGAAGACAGCCAUAGUUGCAUAUGAGGAAAUUCUCUCUUUCCUCAGUUAUCUGAAUGUUUCACUACAGUGCCUUCCUGCUAUUGUACUAAAAGUCCUCCCAAGGCAUUGUCUGUAGGCUGACAACUGUAAUGCAUUUUCCAUCAAUGUUAUACUGUGCUAAAGUAUAAGCAAAAUAUUGCGACUCCAAAGAUCAUCUCACUGUGUUUGGGUUGUGUUGGUUUUUUUUAAACUCACUUUCCUAUCACAUCUUUGCCUGCAAAUUACAGGAUGAGCUCCUGUAAACUUUUGCACCAAAUUAGACAAUACAGAGAAAAUGAAGCCAUCCAUCUUAACAUCUAAACAGUCGGCGGGUAUUUACAGAGACGGCAGAUGUUAGGAAGGGCCUUUUGUCAUUGUUGAAUGCAUUUUGGAAGUAAAGAUUGCCAGAGGAGAAAUUGCAGAGGAAGAUAAUUUGUCAUUAAAUGCUCACAAUUUGGUUACAAAUUAUCUCCCUCUUUUUUUUAUUUGUGUGUCGGGGCGGAGGCUUCUCUUCUAUUUUUAAUGUGUGAGAUUGAACAAAAUUUGAGAUCACCUGAAUUUUAGUGGCUUUGAGGUUAAGGUGUCUGCUGGAUGUGAUGACAGUGGUAGAAAGAAUGUUGAAUAGUUAUGGUUUGCACUCAGUUAAUACUGUCUGUGGGUACAAUGCAGCCAAAUUGAAGCACUUUUUCUCUCUCUUCUUUUUGCUAGAUAGUAGAUUCACGUAAGAUGUACGUCAUAUAGACAACACAAACCCACUGAUUUCAGAGAGAGAGAGAGAGUUAAGUGCAUGCUUAACCCAUCAGUCAAAAUCAUUGGGGCUUCAUGCUUACACCUGCCUUGACUGUGUGUCUCAUGUAAAGAUGUGUCUUUUCCAUCUUCUUGUUAAAAUACAGCACGUUCUAAAAUGUAGAAUAUUUUCAAAGAUAGCACUAGGUUACUAUAUUAAAAACAUGCUGCUUUUUGAUGUUAUAUCUCAAAGUUCUUGAAAUUAGAUAGCACAAUUAUUAUUAUUUUUUGAAAAUAUAUAUAUUUUGUACUAUACGAUCCUUUUAAAGAAGAAGAAAAAUGUCUACUAUGCUUCUUAACUGCCACAAAUAAUGCAACUCCUCCAUGCUGGUAUUUAUAAAUCUCCAGUUUGCAUUCCUUCAGCUGCAGCUUUAAAUAAGUGCUCUUACUCAAAAGCAAGCACGGUUGGUAUUGUUGAAUGCAGUUGGUGUGAUGGGAGGGGUAGUCCGAAAAAUUUGGAGGGGACCAGGUUGGGGGAGGCUGCCUCAGUGACUCUUUGGUGUGAUGUGUAAGUCCGUGUAUGUUUAUGAUCCUGCCAUUUUGUAUGGCUAUUGACAUUUUAAAUACAACCUUGGGAACAAUUUGUCCAUUGAACGUUUCGGUUGAAAGUUUCCUCACAUAAGUACUGCUGAAUAAGAGAUGCAAAGAACAGUUAUCUGUUUCGUUGACAACUAAAUAAUGUCAUAGCCAGUUUAUAAGGUUUAUUUAUCCAUUUCUACUUGCUUGUGCAUAAUGAAUGUAACAAUUAAAUAACAGCAUCUCUCGCGUUUCCAGGGCAUUGCACAAAGUCAAAUGAAUGUGCUGUAGUAAUUGUACAAUCUCAUAUAGGCCAAAGUGGAUCGGGUAUAUUGUUGAUAUGGCAAAUAUGUCUGGCAAGGCUCUUUUGUGUGGUCUGCAAGAGACUGAGAGUCUUGAUAAUCUUAGCUUUUAUUUGUAAACGUUAGUUUCUAGUCCUCACGCUUACAGAGAUGAAUGUCUAUAAAUCUAAAAGCUUAAAUGAUCAGAAAACAGGAAGAGAGCAACAGGAUGCACAGAUUCAUUUGUUUUUAAAGUCUAUAUUUUCCACGAGUUUCAGAGUAUUAACUCAGGUUCUUAACAUGUGAGGAUAAAGACUAUCGGAAGAAAUACAUUGUAAAAUAAUAAGCACAGUGGGGUGCAACCCACACUUAAGUUCUCCUGUUUUCAAUUGAAUUUAGGUAUUUCAAUCUCUGGGUUGUGCACAUUAUAUGCAACAACAGUACUUGGCACCUUUAACGUUCCAGAAAAACGAUAUGCAAAUUGUUUUCUGCAAUUAACUAAUGAUAUACUAAUUAGCAGCGGCCUUCCAGUUCUUUUCCUGAAGUAGUUGGCCAUCCCUCAUACAAUGUUGCUAUCAAAUGCUGGGAAGGAGUUUGGGUCCAAGCUACAUCAGACUGAAGUCUAUGGAUAUGGAAUUUAACUGAUUUUUUUUUAUUUGCACUAAUUUGUGUGUGUUCAUCUUAGCUUGUCCCAAAACUGAUCCAGCAAAGCUGGAAAACUUCAGUUAAUUGCCGACCAUCUCCUGCCAUUUGGAAAAUCAGGUGUAACUUCAUUGAGCACCAAGAUAUAAAGUGCAUCAGUCUUCCUUUCGUUCACUAGUAAAAUACAACACAGUUAAUCUUACUUGUAUGUAUAAGGGAUGUUCUCGGAAGAAGAAAUGUUGAGACCGUCCUGUAAUGGGGCACCAGCCUGUUGACCAUUAUUGAUUAUGGAACCAUCAGGUUGAGAGGCAACAUACCAGUGAAUGCCAGCUGCAGGGAGCAACAAUGGGAGAGAGCUUUUGCCUUUGUGUCCUGGUCCUUGGCUUCCCAGGAACAUCUGGUUGGCCACUGUGGGAAACAGGAUGCUAGACUAGAUAGCCCUUUGGUGGGAUCCGGCAGGGCUUUUCCGAAGCGACACCAAAGAUUUUGAUUUCCCACAUCUGUAAACCAAAUGAAAGAACUGUGCCGAUCAGAUUGCACAUUUGGUUAAAAGACGUCUCUCUUCCAUUUUUUUGCUGGUUGUCAACAACAUUUGCACGCAAGAAACUGAAAAACUAAAAUACAUGUUUAAGCAAAAAAAAACACCUGGUGAAAACACUCUUAAGGUGCAAUUCAGCAUGGGCAAGAAAGACCCUUUCGUUCUCAUGGAAAUCAAGCAUAACAUGCAUUUUGGGGUGUUUCCAGGUGCUCUAAAUAAAAUAUCCAGCCUAUAUUUGCAGCUAGCAUUGUACAUUAUUUACUGCAAAACAAAAAGACGCCUAAAGGGAAAGCAGCUUUUAAAUUGCUCAGAUAUAUAUAUAUUUUAAACUAAAAUUGCUUGUUCAAAAUGUUUUAACUUUUUUAAAACAACAACAACAACUGAGGUUGUAUCUUGAUAUAUCCCCCAUGUAAUGUUUUAAUCUCCAAUUUAAUUGUGAUUUUGCUUUUUGUAAAAUAUUUUUAUACAGCUUGUAUUAUUAUAGUAUAGCAAUAAAUCAAAGGGCA